rnacentral:rRNA from 1 species
AACGAACGCUGGCGGCGCGCUUAACACAUGCAAGUCGAACGAGAAGCUGUAGCAAUACAGUUGUACAGUGGCGAACGGGUGAGGAAUACAUGGGUAACCUACCCUCGAGUGGGGAAUAACCAGCCGAAAGGCUGGCUAAUACCGCGUACGCUUUCCCAAUCUGCGGGUUGGGAAGGAAGCUCUACCGUGGGUAGAGCGCUCAAGGACGGGCUCAUGUCCUAUCAGCUUGNGGUAGGGUAACGGCCUACCAAGGCAACGACGGUAGCUGGUCUGAGAGGACGAUCAGCCACACUGGCACGUGCGACACGGGCCAGACUCCUACGGGAGGCAGCAGUGA